GGCAGUAGUAGCUCAUUAUUUGAUCUAGUAAUGGAGGGAAGAUAUGGCAGUAGAAGGUCUCGUAAUGGGGGUAGAUAUGGCAGUAGCAGGUCUAGUAAUGGGGGGUAGAUAUGGCAGUAGCAGGUCUAGUAAUGGGGGGGUAGAUAUGGCAGUAGCAGGUCUAGUAAUGGGGGGUAGAUAUGGCAGUAGCAGGUCUAGUAAUGGGGGGUAGAUAUGGCAGUAGCAGGUCUAGUAAUGGGGGUAGAUAUGGCAGUAGCAGGUCUAGUAAUGGGGGUAGAUAUGGCAGUAUCUCUUUCCAUCAUUCAGGACUGGGGGGGGGUUCCUUCUCUGACCUUCAUUCAGGAAAGACAACAGUUGGGAAUACCGUCACUAAACCUCUAAGAAACGAAAAGAAAAAGCCAUCUUUCUAGCAAAAACAACAAUGUAUUGGUUAAAGGCUUU
rnacentral:lncRNA from 1 species